ensembl:lincRNA
GAGGAAGCAGUAAGUGUGUAAGUCCUAACACUGGCUAGCUCAGCGAUGUGAAGACCUGAAUGGAAAUUGGGUAGCUGGCAUAGGGCAGGUGAAUGGAAGAGUAGAAUGAGCAGAGAUUUGAAAAGUCUACAAGGGUCAGACUGUACACUAUGUAAGAGCUUUGAGUUUCAUUUGAAAUGUAAUUAGAUCCUUAAUGCUGACUCUAGAAGAAGCUUUAAGCAGAAGAGUAAAAUAGUGUGCAGUAUACAUUUUAAAUGCUCACUAUAUCUCCUAUGCAGAGAGCAGAUUUGUGUGGAGCAAGAAUUAGGAGGCUGUGAGUCAGUUUGGUGGCCAUGGAUGUGGUAGAGGAGAAAUGAAGACAACUGGACUCCAAGACUACCAGCCUAAAAUUCAAGACAGAUGGAUUCAAGGAGCACCAUUUAACUUAACCUGGAUCUACUCACCUUGUAAAUGUAAGUAUAAACCACAGACAUAGUACAAACAAUAUUUGGAAAUACUUCACUUGAC